CAGUAGCCGCGGGAAUACGUAGGGUGCAAGCGUUAAUCGGAAUUACUGGGCGUAAAGCGUGCGCAGGCGGUUAUAUAAGACAGAUGUGAAAUCCCCGGGCUCAACCUGGGAACUGCAUUGGUGACUGCAACGCUGGAGUGCGGCAGAGGGGGAUGGAAUUCCGCGUGUAGCAGUGAAAUGCGUAGAUAUGCGGAGGAACACCGAUGGCGGAGGCAAUCCCCUGGGCCUGCACUGACGCUCAUGCACGAAAGCGUGGGGAGCAAACAGGAUUAGAUACCCGUGUAGUCCCUGUCUCUUAUAC
rnacentral:rRNA from 1 species